rnacentral:lncRNA from 1 species
ACUCCCGUCUGCUCACGGGCUCUUCCGCACGGGCGCUGGCGCCGCCCCGCAGCGACUGCCCCUCCGUCCGGGGUCCCUCCCCGCCACGCUGGCAGGGACGGAUAUGGGGAUGGCGGGCGGGAUAGCUCGCCUAAAUUAAUCCUUGGCUGGGUUGGGGGCGGCGACUCAGGACCGCGCGGAGAUCCGAGCUGACCCGGCCCACUGCAGGAAGGCCCGGUUUCUGCAUUAGGACAUCAGGCCUGGUGUACCCUUCGGCACUCCCUGUUUCGUGCCUUAGUUCCUCAGAUGAGAAAAUGGGGAUUGAGUAGUUAUGCUCACCGCCCCCCGCCCCGCUUCAAUUUCUUGACCUUGAUGGGGGUGGGGGUGGAGGGGCUAACAAUUCCGUUCCCGGCCUUUAGAGAGGGUGUGGGAGGAGGAGUGAACCAACCAGCGGCGUCCUGGGAGCUAAAUUUAGAGCUGGGGGCGCAGAGGUGGGUGGUGGGGAAGGGCGUUGGAGAGGAGUAAGAGUGUCGAAGAGGUUUCCCGAUAGCCCCUGAAUUGAGUCCAACGUCCACCUGAGGUUUAGUAGGUACUCCUUGGAUGGAUGGAUGGAUGGAUGGAUGGAUGGAUGGAUGGAUGGAUGUUCAAGGGGAGAGAGAAAAAUGCAAGAAGGACCGAGGAUGGAAAAGCUUGUUGGGUUUGAGAAGUUCUUAGCAUUAUGGGCACAUAUUGUGGGGAAGAGGGUGAAGAGGGGAGGGCAGUUUAAAAGGGAAAUUGGGUGGUGCACCUGUAAUCCCAGCUACUCAGGAAGCUGAGGCUGGAGGAUGCUUGAGCCCAGGGGUUUGAGGCUCCAGUGAGCUGUGAUCACACCACUGCACUCCACCCUUUGUGACAGAGACCCUAUCUCUAAAAAAAUAUAUAAUAAUUUUUUAAAAAGGAAAUUGGGGUCAGGUCGUUGAGUUUUUCAAAUUAUGCCAAAGUGCUUGGACUUUGUCUUAGAAGGGCAGGAGAUAUCAGAGAUCUUUUAAGCAGGGGGAUGACAUGAUUUGAGUUGUUUUUUGGAAGGAUAACUAGUAGCCAGUGGAGUUUCAGAAUGGGCCAAGGAGGGCAAGGCCUGAGAUAGGGAGACCUGUUGAGUUUGGUCUCACUUUUGAGGGAAACUUUAGGCCUACAGUGGCUAAGACAGUAGCCACCAGCUACAGGUGCACAUUGAGCACUCCAAAUGUGACCAGUCCAAACUGUCACAAGUUUAACAUACACACCAUAUUUCAAAGACUUAGUGUGAAGAAAAUCAUGUAAAAUACCUGAAUAAUUUGUUUCUAUAUUGAUUGUAUGUUGAACUGAUAAUAUUUUGAGUAUACUGGGUUAAGAAAAAUACAUUAUAAAAAUUAAUUUUGGGCCAGGCGCAGUGGCUCACGCCUGUAAUCCCAACACGUUGGGAGGCCGAGGCAGGCGGAUCAUGAGGUCAAGAGAUCGAGACCAUCCUGGACAACAUGGUGAAACCCUGUCUCUACUAAAAAUAUAAAAAAAAUUAGCUGGGCAUGGUGGCGCAUGCCUGUAGUCCCAGCUACUCGGGAGGCUGAGGCAGGAGAAUUGCUUGAACCUGGGAGGCAGAGGUUGCAGUGAGCUGAAAUCAUGCCACUGCACUCCAGCCUGGCGUCAGAGCAAGACUCUGUCUCAAAAGAAAAAAAAAUAAAUUUCGGCUGGGUGCAGUGGCUCACGCCUGUAAUCCCACCACUUUGGGAGGCCUAGGCGGGUGGAUCAUGAGGUCAGGAGUUCAAGACCAGCCUGGCCAAGAUGGUGAAACCCUGUCUCUACUAAAAAUACAAAAAAACAAAACAAACAAACAAACAAACAAAAACAACAGACCGGGCACAGUGGCGGGUGCCUGUAAUCCCAGCUACUCGGGAGGCUGAGGUGGAGAAUUGCUUGAACCUGGGAGGCAGAGGUUGUAGUGAGUAGAGAUCUGCCACUGCACUCCAGCCUGGGUGACAGAGUGAGACUCCGUCUCAAAAAAAAAAAAAAAAAAAAAUUAAUUUCAUCCAGGUGCUGUGGAUCACACCUGUAAUACCAGCACAUUUGGAGACCGAGGUGAGCAGACUGCUUGGGCUCAGGAGUUUGAGACAAGCCUGGGCAACAUGGUGAAACUCUGUCUCUACAAAAAAAUUUAAAAAUUAGCCCAGUGUUGUGGCUCACACCUGUGGUCCCAGCUACUUUCAAGGAUGAGGUAGGAAGAUGACCUGAGCCCCAGAGGUGGAGGUUGCCAUGAGCCAAGAUUGCACCACUGCACUCCAGCCAGGGCUCAAAAAAUAAAUAAAUAAUAUAAGAUAAAAAUAGACCAGGCCUUGCUGGUUGCAGCGAUGUGCACUUGUAAUCCCAGCCCUAGCUGGGAUUACAAGGCCAGAGGAUUGCUUGAGGCCGGGAGUUCAGAGACCAGCCUGGGCAACAUAGUAAGACCUUGUUUCAAAAAAGAGAGAGUUUCAGGCCGGGUGUGGUGGCUCACGCCUGUAAUCCCAACACUUUGGUAGGCCGAGGGGGGCAGAUCACGAGGUCAGGAGAUUGAGACCAUCCUGGCUAACACGGUGAAACCCCAUCUCUACUAAAAAUACGAAAAAAAAAAAUUACCCGGGCAUGAUGGCAGACGCCUGUAGUCCCAGCUACUCGGGAGGCUAAGGCAGGAUAAUCGCUUCAAACUGGGAGGCAGAAGUUGCAGUGGGCUGAGAUCGUGCCACUGCACCCAUCCUGGGUGACAGAGCGAGACUCCAUCUCAAAAAAAAAAAGAGUUUCACUCUGUUGCCUGGGCUGGAGUGCAGUGGCUAAUUAUAGGCACAAUCAUAACUCAGUGCAGCUUCCAACUCCUGGGCUCAAGCCAUCCUCCCACCUCAGCCUCCCCAGUGGCUGGGAUUACAGGUGCAUGCCACUGCACUUGGCUAAUUAAAGAAAAGAAUUUUUUGGCCGGGCGAGGUGGCUCAUGCCUGUAAUCCCAGCACUUUGGGAGGCCGAGGCAGACAGAUCACCUGAGGUCAGGAGACCACCUGGCCAACAUGGUGAAACCCUGUCUCUACUAAAAAUACAAAAAUUAGCCAGGCGUGGUGGUGUGUGCCUGUAAUCCCAGCUACUCAGGAGGCUGAGACAGGAGAAUCACUUGAACCCAGGAGGCAUAGGUUGCAGUGAGCCAAGAUCCUGCCACUACACUUUAGCCUGGGCAACAGCAAGACUCCAUCUCAAAAAAAAAAAAAUUUUUGUAGAAAUGAGAUCUUGCUAUGUUACCUAGGUUGGUCUCAAACUCCUGGCCUCAAGUGAUCCUCCCUCCUCAGCCUCUUAAAGUUUUGGGAUUACAGGCAUGAGCCACUGUGACUGGCCCCUCUACCUUUUUCUAGAGCAGGAACUCAUUCAUAUGGAAAAAACAGCUUUUAUCUGAGGAAUGGGAAUCCUUUUAAAUUAUCAGGCCUAGACAUUAAAAUGAGACAGCAAUCACGUCCCACUACCCCCUUUUGAGCUAUGUAUUCAUCUCUUGAAACUGCUUGCUAUUGUCACAAGUAGCCAUAAAUUAACCUAUUAAUAAUAAUGCUGCACUAAAGACUAUAUAGGGUGUGGACACUAUAACUUAACAGUGUAUAGCCAAGGCUGGGUGCAGUGGCUUACUCCUAUGAUUUCCACACUUUGGCAAGCCAAGGUGAGAGGAUGGCUUGAGGCCAGGAGUUUGAGACCAGCCUGGGCAACAGAGAGACCCUCCCCCUUCAUCUCUACAAAAAAAUUUUUAAAAUGUGGCCGGGAGUUGUAGCUCACGCCUAUAAUCCUAGCACUUUGCGAGGCCGAGGCAGGCGGAUCACCUGAGGUCAGGAGUUUGAGACCAGUCUGGCUAACAUGGUGAAACCCCGUCUCUACUAAAAAUGCAAAAAGUAGCCAGGUGUGGUGGUAUGCGCCUGUAGUCCCAGCUACUAGGGAAGCUGAGACAGGAGAAUCGCUUGAACCUGGGUGGCAGAGGUUGCACUGAGCCAAGAUCACGCCACUGCACUCCAGCCUGGGUGACAGAGUGCCUCAUCUCAAAAAUAAAAUAAAAUUAAAAAUUAAAAAUCAAUGUAUGGAGAAUGAUUAAUUGAUACUAUUUCUGUAAACCAAUGAGAUUUCUUGACAGACCACUUUGUAUCAGAACCUAUUGCCUUAAACUUGUAACUUGUAAACUUGUAAUUCCUGUUAAUUGGAGUGUAUAUUCAGGACAUGAAUCUAUGCUCCUGGGUUGCAGUCCUCAAGUUUAGCCCAAAUAAACUCCCUACUUAUAUUAAUUUUGCCUCAGCUUCUUCCUUAGGUUGACAAUAUCAAGUCUUGUAAUUGAGUAGAAAAGGACAUAGGAAAAAAACCCAAAUUCUUCUUCUUCUUCUCACAUGUCCAACUCCACACUCAGACACCAGCUGGGUGAGGUUUCCUCCUUACACAGCAACCGAGCAAUUUGGCCAAGGUAGAUUCUCCAAGGGACACCAGCUCGAUGUCCUCUAAUUCAGUCAAAUUCUGACAUUAUCUGCCUGGAGAUAGUGCAAGAUCCCACAGGUUAAGGGCUCAGUCCUACAAGACUGCCCCCCACUUGAGAUGUCAGUCAAAAGUACAGCCUGUGAUCUGUGCUUCUGACAACCCGG